UACAGAGGUCUCAAGCGUUGUUCGGAUUCAUUGGGCGUAAAGGGUGUGUAGGUGGCGCGCUAAGUCGGGUGUGAAAUUUCGGAGCUUAACUCCGAAACUGCAUUCGAUACUGGCGUGCUUGAGGACUGGAGAGGAGACUGGAAUUUACGGUGUAGCAGUGAAAUGCGUAGAUAUCAGGAGGAAUACCGAUGGCGAAGGCAGGUCUCUGGGCUGACACUGACGCUCAUGCACGAAAGCGUGGGGAGCAAACAGG
rnacentral:rRNA from 1 species